rnacentral:misc_RNA from 1 species
UUUCAAGGGCAUCAGUCUGAAAUUAUUAGCCAUGGAACAACUUUUGCAGCAGAAUCCUGAAUUUGGGGGAAAGGUGGUCAUGGUUCAAAUUUUAAAUCCUGCAAGGAGCUCAGGGAAAGAUGUACAAGAAGUAAAAAAGGAGACAUACUUGAUUACCAAAAGGAUAAACAGUAUUUUUGGUUUUCCAGGCUAUGAACCAGUGGUUCUGAUUGAUCGUUAUGUACCUUUUUAUGAGAAAACAG